CCUACGGGAGGCAGCAGUAGGGAAUCUUCCACAAUGGGCGAAAGCCUGAUGGAGCAACGCCGCGUGGGUGAAGAAGGUCUUCGGAUCGUAAAACCCUGUUGUUAGAGAAGAAAGUGCGUGAGAGUAACUGUUCACGUGUCGACGGUAUCUAACCAGAAAGCCACGGCUAACUACGUGCCAGCAGCGGCGGUAAGACGUAGGUGGCAAGCGUUAUCCGGAUUUAUUGGGCGUAAGGGGAACGCAGGCGGUCUUUUAAGUCUGAUGUGAAAGCCUUCGGCUUAACCGGAGUAGUGCAUUGGAAACUGGGGGACUGGAGUGCAGAAGAGGAGAGUGGAACUCCAUGUGUAGCGGUGAAAUGCUUAGAUAUAUGGAAGAACACCAGUGGCGAAGGCGGCUCUCUGGUCUGUAACUGACGCUGAGGUUCGAAAGCGUGGGUAGCAAACAGGAUUAGAUACCCCUGUAGUC
rnacentral:rRNA from 1 species